AGAGUUGCAGCAUAAUAGCCCGUUCGUGACGGACUUUUAAAGCACAAGAACCAGAGGGGGAUUCAAUGGAGCCUGAAUACCUGCACUGAGACCCUCACCCUGCACCCUGAGUCUCAACUCUGUGUUUUUCAAGCCUUUCCCUGUUUUUUUGUAUUAAACAAAACAUUAAGCUUUC